rnacentral:tRNA from 4 species
GCAGGGGUUGCCAAGCCUGGUCAACGGCGCCGGACUUAAGCUCCGGUCUCAAGAGGUUCGUGGGUUCGAAUCCCACCUCCUGCA